GCCAGAUGUUACUGAAACAGGAGAGGUUGAAUCAACAGGGCCAGAUGUUACUGAAACAGGAGAGGUUGAAUCAACAGGGCCAGAUGUUACUGAAACAGGAGAGGUUGAAUCAACAGGGC